GGCGCUGUAGUGUAGUGGUUAUCACUCGAGGUUUUGAUCGUCAACAAAUGAUAUCGUUAUCUUCUCGUAACCCAGGUUCGAACCCUGGCAGUGCCU